GGCGGCGCGUCCUAUACAUGCAGUCGAGCGGACCGACGGGAGCUUGCUCCCUUAGGUCAGCGGCGGACGGGUGAGUAACACGUGGGUAACCUGCCUGUAAGACUGGGAUAACUCCGGGAAACCGGGGCUAAUACCGGAUGCUUGAUUGAACCGCAUGGUUCAAUCAUAAAAGGUGGCUUUCAGCUACCACUUGCAGAUGGACCCGCGGCGCAUUAGCUAGUUGGUGAGGUAACGGCUCACCAAGGCGACGAUGCGUAGCCGACCUGAGAGGGUGAUCGGCCACACUGGGACUGAGACACGGCCCAGACUCCUACGGGAGGCAGCAGUAGGGAAUCUUCCGCAAUGGACGAAAGUCUGACGGAGCAACGCCGCGUGAGUGAUGAAGGUUUUCGGAUCGUAAAACUCUGUUGUUAGGGAAGAACAAGUACCGUUCGAAUAGGGCGGUACCUUGACGGUACCUAACCAGAAAGCCACGGCUAACUACGUGCCAGCAGCCGCGGUAAUACGUAGGUGGCAAGCGUUGUCCGGAAUUAUUGGGCGUAAAGCGCGCGCAGGCGGUUUCUUAAGUCUGAUGUGAAAGCCCCCGGCUCAACCGGGGAGGGUCAUUGGAAACUGGGGAACUUGAGUGCAGAAGAGGAGAGUGGAAUUCCACGUGUAGCGGUGAAAUGCGUAGAGAUGUGGAGGAACAGCAGUGGCGAAGGCGACUCUCUGGUCUGUAACUGACGCUGAGGCGCGAAAGCGUGGGGAGCGAACAGGAUUAGAUACCCUGGUAGUCCACGCCGUAAACGAUGAGUGCUAAGUGUUAGAGGGUUUCCGCCCUUUAGUGCUGCAGCAACGCAUUAAGCACUCCGCCUGGGGGAGUACGGUCGCAGACUGAAACUCAAAGGAAUUGACAGGGGCCCGCACAGCGGUGGAGCAUGUGUUUAAUACUAAGCAACGCGAGACAUUACCAGUCGUGGACGUGCUCUGACACCCUAGAGAUAGGGCUUCCCGUUCGGGGCAGGAUGACAGCUAGUGCAUGCAUGUCGUCUCUCGUGUCGUGAGAUGUUGGUUAGUCAGCA
rnacentral:rRNA from 1 species